rnacentral:tRNA from 1 species
AUAGGUAUAGCUCAGUGGUAAGAGUGCAUGCUCAGCAUGUAUGAAGUCAUGGGUUUAAUCCCCAGUACCUCCU